CGUCUAGAUCCACAUUCAGAUCCAGUUCGGUGUCUGCUGAGGAUGGCGUCGUGGUGGACAGUUGUCUUGAUUCUCCAGAUUGGUGCAUUAUGGGAGUACACCCAUGCCACUUCGUGCACGGCCGUUACCAAAAACACCUGCACGCCGACUCUACAGGUAACUGGCACGUGCACUAGCGAGGUAUGUGACUGCAAGAGUGGUUUCGUGACGACUCGGACGGGAUGCAGUGGCUCGAUCACACCAAAAAUAGAUAUUGUAGCGAUAAGUGGGACAUCAGAAUAUCCAGGUAAU